GCAAAACACCAGUAAUGAUUGGGACGACGGAUAAUUGAGAUGUUCUUUUCCAUGACAAUGGCAAAGGAACCUAUACUGACCUAAAGAUGACAUUUCCUACACCAGGAGAUGAUGACCUCAUGGCUUUUGAUGUAAACAACACUGGGGAUCUGUAUAAUAUAAAGGACUCAGAAACCCUUUGCCCUUUGACUAGCAACGGAAUAAUUGCAUGUAAUAUUCAGGGUACCAGCAACGCAGAAGAAAAAUGAAAGCACGGAGAAUUCAGAAUGAACUUAGAAAAUAAAAUAUCCAUUACGGCUUAAGGAGGUGCAUUCGAUAUGGUCUCAAAGCACAGUUAAUGCCCAAUGUCAUGGUCAAUCUUGAGAAUUUCAUCUGUUUUUUAUAAUACGUAUUUUUUUUUAAAUCAGAAGCAUGCUCCAAUAUUGACAGGUAUAGAAGAUUCGGCUGGUGACAUCCAGAAAAUUUUUCCGCUUCUUAGAAUUCAAGUGCUGAAUUUCUUGUCAAGAUCGUUUUGAUAAUAAAAUUAUCGUUUCAUAUUA